CAGAGCCCUUUCACUUUACCAGUUGGAUUGGUACAUAUCUGGAUUGGUCAUUCAAAAGGGCUACAGAAAACAUCUUCUUAAAACCCAAGCAAACUGACCUGUGUUGCUUGUGUCCUGUCAGAAGAGACAGCU